rnacentral:tRNA from 1 species
GCGCCCGUAGCUCAGCAGGAUAGAGCAACGGUUUUCUAAACCGUCGGUCGGGGGUUCGAAUCCCUCCGGGCGUA